GAUGAACGCUGGCGGCGUGCCUAAUACAUGCAAGUCGAGCGAACAGACGAGGAGCUUGCUCCUCUGACGUUAGCGGCGGACGGGUGAUUAACACGUGGAUAACCUACCUAUAAGACUGGGAUAACUUCGGGAAACCGGAGCUAAUACCGGAUAAUAUAUUUAACCGCAUGGUUCAAUAGUAAAAGACGGUUUUGCUGUCACUUAUAGAUGGAUCCGCUCCGCAUUAGCUAGUUGGUAAGGUAACGGCUUACCAAGGCAACGAUGCGUAGCCGACCUGAGAGGGUGAUCGGCCACACUGGAACUGAGACACGGUCCAGACUCCUACGGGAGGCAGCAGUAGGGAAUCUUCCGCAAUGGGAGAAAGCCUGACGGAGCAACGCCGCGUGAGUGAUGAAGGUCUUCGGAUCGUAAAACUCUGUUAUUAGGGAAGAACAAAUGUGUAAGUAACUAUGCACGUCUUGACGGUACCUAAUCAGAAAGCCACGGCUAACUACGUG
rnacentral:rRNA from 1 species